CCAGAGUGCCCUAGGCUCUCCAACCCACUGUGAACAUACCUACGUUCCCCCGGCGGGCUCAGCGCGCGGGCCCGAGAGGCCCCGGGCGUCCGCCGAGGGCCCCAAACCCGAAUUUUAUAGCGUGUAUCUCUGAUGGGCGACAGCCCGCAAAACAAAAUGAAUCA
rnacentral:misc_RNA from 1 species